UCGUGUGAAGGGAUUCAGUAUUUCUUCGCGCGCCGUGAACGUUGAGGACGACUUACUGGGAGCAGUGACAACAUUGCAUAUCAUCGCGCUUGAAGUGCCAAAAUCUUUGAUCGAAGUUUACGGUCAAUCCUAACCUCAUUUGACCCAGCGAUGCAGACGAGCGCACGGAAUUUCGGCGGAGCGGAGGUGCGCCGGUUCGGGCCGAGUAAGGACUUUGUAGCAGAAUGUGGCAGCAGAAUAUA